rnacentral:rRNA from 1 species
GUGAACGCUGGCGGUAGGCCUAACACAUGCAAGUCGAACGGCAGCACAGUAAGGGCUUGCUCUUACGGGUGGCGAGUGGCGGACGGGGGAGGAAUACAUCGGAAUCUACUUUUUCGUGGGGGAUAACGUAGGGAAACUUACGCUAAUACCGCAUACGACCUACGGGUGAAAGCAGGGGAUCUUCGGACCUUGCGCGAUUGAAUGAGCCGAUGUCGGAUUAGCUAGUUGGCGGGGGAAAGGCCCACCAAGGCGACGAUCCGUAGCUGGUCUGAGAGGAUGAUCAGCCACACUGGAACUGAGACACGGUCCAGACUCCUACGGGAGGCAGCAGUGGGGAAUAUUGGACAAUGGGCGCAAGCCUGAUCCAGCCAUACCGCGUGGGUGAAGAAGGCCUUCGGGUUGUAAAGCCCUUUUGUUGGGAAAGAAAAGCAGCAGGUUAAUACCCCGCUGUUCCGACGGUACCCAAAGAAUAAGCACCGGCUAACUUCGUG